rnacentral:rRNA from 1 species
AGUGAACGCUGGCGGCGUGCCUAACACAUGCAAGUCGAAGGAAGUGGCGCACGGGUGAGUAAUAUAUAGCUAACCUGCCCCUUGCUGGAGGACAACAGUUAGAAAUGUCUGCUAAUACUCCACAGCAAGGGAUGAGACUAUAUCGUAUCAGCUAGUCGGUGGGGUAACGGCCUACCGAGGCUAUGACGCGUAACUGGUCUGAGAGGAUGAUCAGUCAAAUUGGAACUGAGACACGGUCCAAACUCAUACGGGAGGCAGCAGUAGGGAAUAUAGCGCAAGGGGGGAAACCCUGACGAAGCAACGCCGCGUAGAGGAUGACACUUUUGGAAGCAUAAACUCCUUUUGAUAGGAGAGCGGUACCUAACGAAUAAGCACCGGCUAACUCCGUGCCAGCAGCCGCGGUAAUAC